rnacentral:rRNA from 1 species
GACGAACGGUCCAAACGUUAUUCGGAAUUACUGGGCUUAAAGGGUGCGUAGGCGGCGCGGAAAGUUGGGUGCGAAAUCCCUCGGCUCAACCGAGGAAUUGCGCCCAAAACUACCGUGCUCGAGGGAGGCAGAGGUGAGCGGAACUGAUGGUGGAGCGGUGAAAUGCGUUGAUAUCAUCAGGAACACCGGUGGCGAAAGCGGCUCACUGGGUCUUUUCUGACGCUGAGGCACGAAAGCUAGGGGAGCGAACGGG